AAGAAACUAGCCGCAAGCUUAAAAUUUAUGCUGUGGAGAAAAAUCCAAAUGCAAUUGUUACACUACAUAGCUUAGUCAAACUAGAGGGCUGGGAAGACACUGUUACCAUAAUUUCUAGCGAUAUGCGUCACUGGGAUACUUCUGAGAAAGCUGACAUUUUGGUUAGUGAACUCCUAGGUUCUUUUGGUGACAAUGAGCUUUCUCCUGAGUGCUUGGAUGGAGCCCAGAGGUUUUUAAAGGACGACGGGAUUUCA